CUAGCCUCAGACACUUACUAGCUGUGUGACUCUGGGCAAAUCACUUAACCCUGUUUGCCUCAGUUUCCUCAUCUGUGAAAUGAGCUAGAGAAGGAAAUGGCAAUCCAUUCCAGUGCCUGUGCCAAGAAAACCUCAAGUGGAGUCACAAGAGUCGGACACGACAACUCACAAAAUUGUCCCAGGUUCUUCAGGAUAAAACUGGAACAUCUUGGGCAGAAGAAACCAAUGAAGAAACUGCCAAUGAGAAGAAUAAGGGAAAUAUAAUAGAGAAGAAGCAGCACAUUAAAAGACAAAAAGAGAGAAAGAAAGAAAGAAAGAAAGAAAGAAAGAAAGAAAGAAAGAAAGAAAGAAAGAAAGAAAGAAAGAAAGAAAGAAAGAAAGAAAGAAACAGCAAAGGGACCCAGAUGGGAAAGGAUGUUUUUAUGUAAAACAUCAAAGUCAUUCUAACCCGUGGAUACCAGGGGAUUUUGGAACUCACAUAAAUGGUUGAGAUCAGAGUUUCAAAAUGAGCAUAGAAGUAAAUGGCUUAGCAGAUGGUUAGGGGAAAGGACAAAGGGGCCUCUCAUGGGCACUGGAAAGAACUGUGAUGGCAAACAGAAUUCAUAGUGUUAUGUUCACAGAUAAUUAGAGCUAGCUAGCACUUAUUAGGAAUUGAUAGUAGUAGUUUGAUAAGGGCACAUGCUCUUUAAAGUAUAGUUAAUUAGAUGCUGAGGGAAAAGCAAAAGCACUAUCAGCUGAACAUUCUUCAAGUGAUAAAAUGACUCCAAACUUGUGUGCAAGAAACAAGCUUGCCAUAGGGCUAAGGAUGGGAGAUACGUGGCUUAGCAGUAAUUCAUGAUAAAGACUACAAAGUUCACUACUAUGAGUCAGUAGUGUAACAUGGCAGCCAUUAGUUGCACUAGUAGCAAAGUGCUAGAAACAAGUGAUAUAUUUUUUUUAGGGAAUGGCUAAAUAAGUGAUGUUAUGUGAAAGUCAGGGAAUAUUACUGCCCCAAAAGAAAUAACAAACGUGAUGAAUUCAGAGAAGCAUGUAACUACUUAUAUGAACUGAUGCAAAUGAUGGAGGCAGAACCAGGAAAAAUACACAAAAUGAUUCUAGCAAUACAAACAUAGGGGAAAAGAAAAGCACAAUGGAAAAUGAAUGCUGGGAAAUUAUAAUGACCAAGACUGAUUCCAUUGUAGAAAUAGGAGAAGGCAUCUCACUCCCAUCUUUACAGAGAUGAGAGACUAUAGGAUGUAGUAUGCAAUGCUAGUUUUUUUUUUUUUGAUGAUCUGGGUAGUUUUAUUCACCAUUUUUAUAGCUGUGGGAGGCAAGAGGAAUACACUGGAAAAUGUAAAUGAAAUGAAAAGAGAAGAUAUGCAUUAAAAUGUGUUUUUCAAAAUUCUCAUUUGAUAGAAGCACAGAAUCCGGAAUAAGAGAGAUUAGUAG
rnacentral:lncRNA from 1 species